UGUAUAUGUUCGUCUCUCUGAAGAAUAGAUAUGAGAAGAAGAUACAUUAAUUCUAGGCUUUGUUCUUUUAAUCCUUAUUGAGAAACCUAACACUAAUCUUUUUCUCCUCUUUUCUCUUUAACCUUGUGUCGAUCUCAAACUCUGUAAAGAAGUAGUUAUUUCAAGGAGGAUUAAUCUAUAGCUGGUUCUAAUGGGGAUUGUCGAAUCCAGAAUCUGAUGUAUCUGAUCGUAAUAAUGUUGAGAAAUAUGUUUACUUCUUCAUGGAAAUUUCAGAUGAAACUGAAGCAGGAAUCGGAGCGGAAAUUGAUAUGGGUUUGUCGAGAUAAGGGUUAUUGACAACUGAGAUUGAUGAUUAAGCCAAAAUAAUUGAAAAUUUUCAGAAUCUAGGGUUUGGUUUUGGGAAGAGCAGCUGAGGCUGUGUCUGAAUCGGUAAGAAUGAGAAUGGGUUAAUUGAAGAUGGGCGUUUGAGAGUUCUUGGAUGAUGAUAAGAGUUGGGUUGAGCUCGAUUUUCAACCAGAUGAAGAAAUCAAUCGAGAAAAAAUAUUCCAGGUUUGUCGUAGUGAAGAUACCAUUAUUAUUAUGCAUCUUCGAAGGUUUUUGAUAGUUAUUGAUGUCUAAUAGACAAAGGCACAGUUGGCCAAUUAGUAAAACAUUGUUGGAUGCAAGCCUAUGGAGUAAAUUUAACGAGAUGGUGGGGUUAUUGUUUAUGAUAUGUUAAGGGGGUGAUUUAAGAUGCGAAGUCGAAUAAGAAAGGAGAUGAAGAGGAUUACCAGAAAAAGGUUAAGCUUCCUCCACUCUAGAUUCUCUCCUCUGAACCUCAUACGAACCUAGAUGAUAAUUCCAAUGGAACUUCUUAAUCGAAACCCUCGAAUUCGAAUUCAAGAACCUACUAACCGCUCAAAAUAUACGUAAGGGGAGGUUACUGCCAUUGAAUUGACAGCGAGAGAAAGUAAGCUUAAAAGAGAAAAUAAGUCAGUGAAGAAACCCCUUAAUCUUAUUCUCUCUUUUAUUAUAAUCUAGGGUAAAUUCUCAGGGGUAGUAAAGAAAGAAUCAGGUCAUUAGUAGAGGGCAGUAAAGAAAACCAUUAAUCAAAAAGGGAAAAUAAACUUGCUGCUACAUUAAUGUCUAGAAAGUAGAUUUACAUUGUCUAGAAAGAAACUGUUGAUUGAUUAAUUAUUAGGCGUAAGUUUUGCAAAAGGUACCUCAAGGAGCUUAUCAGGUUAUGAGUGAUCCAACAGAAAGAGAAGCUUAUGAUGGGAAUGUGAAGCAUUGUAUGUCUACGUACCUUAAGAGAAUUUUCAUCUGUAUAUAAUUUAAAAUAUGAGUGGUGUUUCUAUCUUACUGUUGUGAAUAUAUCCACCAUUUAUAAAAAUUAUGCAUGUCCCAGUAUUUGGACUGCGAUGGAAAAGCGUUGAAACAGGUGCCAUUUUAUUAUGUUUGGAUAACAGAGUUUUAUCUCAAUGCUGCUCGUAUUCUUCCCUUUAACAGUAAUCAAUGUUCCAUCAUUUUCUCCUCCAGUUUAUCUUGCGUCCAAGCACAAAUUGAUCAAUAGUAUCAAACAGAGUCAAAGCGAAAUAUUUACCAUCUGCUAUAUAAAUGUUAACCAUAUCUGGGGAGAUAACGAAGUUUGAUAACCACAUCGACAUUUAUAAGUUUAUUCAAGACCUGCACUUUUUUGUUCCCAGUGGUGACAAUGAGAAUGAACUUAAAUGAGCUACUAGAUUUCGAGUAUUCCGUAAUGUAGUUGCACUCCUUCUCAGGUAUCGAGACCGACCCUCACCUUUUAGGGAUUGAUGGGUGAUUUGACAACCAUUAAAGUGACCAUAAUCAUUUGAUGAAGAUGAAUUUUCAAGCAAACUUGUUAUAUGUACAGAAACUGAAUGCCGCUCAAUUAGUUCCACAGUAAACGCUUCAGCUGGAUAUCGGUACCGGAGAGGGCUCAGUUGGACGUGUUUAUCAACAUCAAUUUAAUGACGAGAAGGUAUAUUUAUCUCCUUGGUUCAGAAGAUGGUCUCCCGGUCUUCUUACUGUUGAUAUUCUAUUCUUAGUCAUGCCGAUAGAAUAUGACUAUAGAUAGUUUUCCAGAUAAUACGCUGGUGCUUCCAACCAGUGUAGAACGAACCUGCUAUCUAUCUGAGUAAACCUUUCAUUGUGGUCUAACUGCAUAAUUUUUAUGAAUCUUUUGAAUCUAAUAAUUUUUCUGCUUGCAUACUUAUGUGUUCAUGUAAGAAGUGCCUCUUUUUUGAUUUUUCUGUGUACGUGAAUACAAAGAGCAUAUGUUUCCUGUAAGUAGUUUUGGUGGCAGCCAAAAAUUAUGCAAUUGGCGAAUGUGUCAAAUUUGUUUGCAUUAAAAUGCAAGAGCAUGGGUAAAUAAUGCAGGCAUUUGUAGUAGUCGAGGAUCGACCAAGCGUUCUCAAAAAGAAGGAAACACAAUAAAGGUAAGCUAUGAUAGAUUCUCAAAAUAUCGGGCGCCUUCUUAUUCUUCCUCUUGCAGUUAUAACUAUGAUAGAAUAUCUCAGCAAGAAGAAUAAGGGUGGGAUAGGUUAGCAAUAUUUUGAACCGUAUGAGUUGGAUAGUUGGUUCAUGUGAACAGCCACAGAGAGAUGUCAGUAAUGCAGUUGACAAUCUUAUUAAACAGGUAUCUUGCGAUAAUUGGAGAAUAACGAUAUAACUAAAAGUAAUGAUGCCAGGUUGGCCUACAGAUGGUUGGUAUCAUCCUGGUCGUUUUUGUUCUUUGUCGGGCUCAAUGGUUUGUUGACGGACAAACAACAUUCCAUGCAAUUGCAUCAGCCACCGAGGAAGCAACGUCAGUGGUUAGGUUUCUCUUCUUGAAGUUGAUUAGAAUAUGAAGGGAUUCAGAUUUUAUGUAUCAUUCAGAUUAUAUGUAUCAUAUUCUAUAUACGGGGUAUAUGUUGUAUUUUAUAGAGAGGAGAUUCGCUAGACAAUUCAUGAGAAAAUUUCAUGAAAUGGAAAUUUUUAUGGAUUUUUUUUGUUUCCA